rnacentral:lncRNA from 1 species
GGAACCACAUGCAAAAUUCAAAUUUUUUGCACCGGUUGCCUUGGUUACCAUUUAUAAAGAAUUGAGAUGUUUCAGAAUUCCAUCCCCGACAAUCACAUUACCUUAAAAAAGUCUAGUGACUAACAAAGGUAUGUAUUUUUAUCUCUUUUAGAUGGAGAAAUUCUAUCUCAAACUUGCUUUAGCUGAAUGCAAUUCUUCAUUUGGCAAGUACAAUUCCUCUCGUCUCGUGAAAUACUUGCUUAUUUGGUUACAAUUAGUAGGUUAUACCUACUUCUAAUAAAUGCUAAGAAUGUCGCUGUUUUAGUCCAAUAUAGACUAUUUCUUUUACUCCUGUAGUAGGAAUUAGGUGGAGAUUGUUACAAAAUUACAAGCACAAUGCCUCUUGCUAUGGACUUGCAUUUGUUUAUUUCAUGUGCAAUUGUGAUGCCUACUUACACUGAACCUAUUUGCCUUUUGUUAUCGAAAUUUGUUUGUUCCUGUUAUGCGACCAUCUUUUUCUGUAUGACACAGUUUUCAUUUGUUUGUAUAUUCUAUUGGAAGUACUGAUUGUUAAGCAAAUUGCUAGCCUGUCUAAAAUAACUGUUAACAUCUGAGCCGUGAUACGUGAUACCCCAUGUUCUAGUUGGUAAUUCUUGUAGUUACGUUCUCUGCAGGGGAUAUAUUUCUUCUAAAACUUUACACAUUACUCAUUGAGAAAACAGUGUUACAGUUGAUCCAGUAACUUUUAGAUGGAAAACAUUUCCCCACCCGCGGCACGAAUAUCCAAGUUAAUUAACUCUUCUGAAGGUUCAAAGGUUUAUCCUGUUAAACUUGUUAGCUGAACUUUCAUCUCCCUUUCCGGUUUAUCGAUGUUUUCCCCGAAGUUACAUGGGAUAUUUUUCUCCAGUGGAAGAAAGUGAAGGACCCGGAGUAUAAUGUAUUACUCCCUUCGUCCCAUUUCACUUGGCAUGUAUUCCUUUUCGUAUUGUCCCAUUGACUUUGACCUUUUUCCUUCUUGGGUAAUCACUUUACACUAUAUUAAAUAUGGGCCCACAUAUCUUUACACUACAAUCUUAUCCUCCUAAAUAACCAUGUCAAAAAGAAUUAGGCCAAGUGAAGUGGGACGGAGGGAAUAUUAUUUUUGGCUCGAGUAUGUAACUUAUGUUAGAAGCUUAAUCUUUGUUUCAAUCGAUUUCCCCACUGUGCAUCAUUUUUUUAUUUUUGACUAGGGAAAGGGGGACGGUGGGGAUUGAACCCUUGACCUCACUCUAUAAAUGGAGGAGUCUCACCAUUUGGAUGUUCCCGAAGGGACCCCACUGCAUCAUUGAUGCUGCUGAACUUCACUAGUUUUUUUCAAUUGAUUACUAUAUCACUCUUCAAUCAGACAUGUUUACGCACUAUUAUCGGAC